CGGGGCGUAGCGCAGUCUGGUAGCGCAUCUGCUUUGGGAGCAGAGGGUCGCUGGUUCAAAUCCAGUCGCCCCGA
rnacentral:tRNA from 1 species